UCUUUCUGAAGUUGAUUUUCCAAGGACAAAGGAAUCAUUAGGACAAAUUAUUAUUACUGCUUCAUGGUGGAGAUGCUUCUGGUUUAUUUUGUGGCUACUGCUGUUACUGCUUGGAGUGCCUCACCGAGCCAGCUAACAACUGCGUGCGAUGAAGCCCCACCUGCCCUUCAGGAUGCAAAGCCCUCCUCUAUAAAAUGCGUGCGGGGCCAGGUGUAGUGGCUCACGUCUGACCUCCCAACACUUUGGGAGGCUGAGGCAGGGGGAUCGCUUGAGCCCAGAAGUUUGAGACCAGCCUGGGCAACAUUGUGAGACCCUGUUCCUUGAAUUGCCCUGGGAGAUUUCCUCAGCUUGUGCUGGAGGCAUGUGGCCCCAUGAAACCCAUAGUCACCGUUCACCCUGAGAGACGCUGGCUUUGGGGCUCACAUGCCUGCUGCGGGGCAGCCCCAGGAGAUGGCCACCCUGUUUCUCCCGGAGCUUGAGCUGCACGUGUUCUCAGCAACUGUGGUGGCUGUUCUGUUUUGUUUGCAUCUUAUAAACCGUUUACCCGAUUACAUUUUCCUCUUCAAUUUAGCUGCCAGAAAAUUUAAAGUCAGAUUGGUGGCUCGCCAGUAAUGAGAGUUUAGAGUAGAGGUAAACUUUAUGACAUAGUCUUAGACUCUUCACUUUCUCCUCAGCCAACAUGAUUCACAUUUACUUUAUUUUGCUGUACUGUGAGUGUCUUUGUGUUUCCUGAAUUCCUUCUGGAAUAAGGCAGGUUGUUAGUAAGCACAGGUUUCUGGUCCAUCUCAUAGCCUCAGGCAGUGGGCGGUGCUGUCCGUGCUCCCUUUCUGGGUUACCUGUGGUAGCUCUCAAGUUGCAGGGCUGCGAUUUGAAGCCUGAUUUAGUACACCGUGUUUCUGUCGUGUUCUGUGGUGGUUUGCUCCUCACGUGAGCAUUCACCCUGUGGCCCUGUUUCUCCACCACACCUCUGCCUGGUGGCAUCCUACUGGAUGUCUCAGCCGAGCCACUCUGUUCUGAAGACGCCCUUGUCCUCCACCACUUUGCUUUGGGCUCUGAGCUUCUUCUGCCUUUCGUCUCUGUAGGAUGAAGCCCCACCUGCCCUUCAGGAUGCCAGCCUUGACAACAUUGUGAGACCCUGUUUCUACAAAAACUAAACAAGUGUAGUGGUGCACGCCUGUAGUCCCAGCUACUUGGGAG